UCCACUUUAUAAAUAGGCAGACGGAAGGGAACGUUCCUAUUACGCACACGCGCGGAUUACGUAAAGGAGCGUGUUCAAAAUCAGGAGACGUCUGAUGACGCAGGCACGCAGCCUGCACGAGGUUAGUUCCGGCCUUCGUUCCAAAAACAGAGUUUAGAUCUUCAUUCUGGGAAUUACAUUUUUACAUAAAUGUUUACAUUAUGCAAACUUUACUCCUGAUUUUAAAAAUCCACCCCAUAUUAAAAAAAACUGUAUUUUCCCCACUGAACGGCCUAAAGGAGAAAUAAUCUCUUUACAAAAUGUGCUGUACAUCAGGCUAAAAACUGCACACGUGUGUGUAUAAAACUGCGGCAGAUUUUUGUGAUGAACCCCAGUAAGAAGCAUUGUAUUUCUGAACCCACUACUUAUGCGGACUUGUUCUAGUGAUCUGUUUGCAGCAGUGAUCUGUUUGCAGCACUUCUGAAUAAUAAAUCCGCAAAUAAACUGUUGAAAAAAUA